rnacentral:rRNA from 1 species
CCUACGGGCGGCAGCAGUCGAGAAUCAUUCACAAUGGGGAAAACCCUGAUGGUGCGACGCCGCGUGGGGGAAUGAAGGUCUUCGGAUUGUAAACCCCUGUCAUGUGGGAGCAAAUUAAAAAGAUAGUACCCCAAGAGGAAGAGACGGCUAACUCUGUGCCAGCAGCCGCGGUAAUACAGAGGUCUCAAGCGUUGUUCGGAAUCACUGGGCGUAAAGCGUGCGAAGGCUGUUUCGUAAGUCGUGUGUGAAAGGCGCGGGCUCAACCCGCGGACGGCACAUGAUACUGCGAGACUAGAGUAAUGGAGGGGGAACCGGAAUUCUCGGUGUAGCAGUGAAAUGCGUAGAUAUCGAGAGGAACACUCGUGGCGAAGGCGGGUUCCUGGACAUUAACUGACGCUGAGGCACGAAGGCCAGGGGAGCGAAAGGGAUUAGAUACCCGAGUAGUC